GUCACACUCCUACGGGAGGCAGCAGUGGGGAAUAUUGGACAAUGGGCGAAAGCCUGAUCCAGCAAUGCCGCGUGAGUGAUGAAGGCCCUAGGGUUGUAAAGCUCUUUUACCCGGGAAGAUAAUGACUGUACCGGGAGAAUAAGCCCCGGCUAACUCCGUGCCAGCAGCCGCGGUAAUACGGAGGGGCUAGCGUUGUUCGGAAUUACUGGGCGUAAAGCGCACGUAGGCGGCUUUGUAAGUCAGAGGUGAAAGCCUGGAGCUCAACUCCAGAACUGCCUUUGAGACUGCAUCGCUUGAAUCCAGGAGAGGUCAGUGGAAUUCCGAGUGUAGAGGUGAAAUUCGUAGAUAUUCGGAAGAACACCAGUGGCGAAGGCGGCUGACUGGACUGGUAUUGACACUCAGAUGCAGAAGCGUGGGAGCAAACAGGAUUAGAUACCCUGGUAG
rnacentral:rRNA from 1 species